UAGUGGUAGUUGUAUAAUUCAAUAUUCUUAUUGUUAUCUUUUCCCGAAUGCACUCUAAUAUUUUCCCUUUCUUCCUUCCGCCACCACCUCUUCCACUUUGACACAACAUCCACCUACAGUGUCUAUAAAUAAGACUGGUCUCUUUAGAAAAAAAAAAAAAAGAAAAAAAAUCGUACGUAACUCACCAUAUUUAUAACACUCUUCCGCCCGAGCAGCCCCCCACACUUACAAUAUAACAUCUGUUUCUUUGUGCUUACGAAACCUUUCUGCGUUUUCUGUAUUUUGUUUUACUUAAAAUUUUGCUUCGUUUAACUCUUUCACUGCGGCAUGCAACAAUUCACACCACUAUAAAUAAGGUAUGGAAUCUUUAUAAGCAUCUACAAGAACCGGAAUAGAAUAGAUUUUACAGUUUCUGACGAGUACAAUAUUGGAGGUGGCUGUGGAACAAGAAAAGAUGUACCAUAGUUGUUUGUGAUAAAGGAGAAAUGUGGCAAAAUAACAUUAAAAGGGUUUUAAAGUACCGGACAGCUUCGAGACAGCUUCGAGAGAGUACCGAGGCAACGCGACUCACUGCAGCCAUCUUAGACGCUUACCUAGUCCCCGUGCGUUCGUUGUCUGGUGCAAGCGCGUAGUGGAUUCUGUACUUUCUCGAACACUUAUUACUGGUGAAGGUGAAGCAGGACCGCCGAGGUGCUACGUAGGGACUGUGCCAAGUGCCUGCAGUGAUGUGCUCCUGAGAAGAGCAUGGCGAGGUCCUGGCGGUACACAGCGAAGUAGUACACAGGGAGGCCAGCCAGGAUGACUCCCACUGCCCCAGCGACCUCCAUUGGCGACAUUAUGACAGGCACACUAAGGAGAAAGAUUUGGACGCCAGCGAAGAGGAUGGGUACCGCCAGCCACACCUGUAGAUAUGGCACAGAUGACUGCCGGCACGGGGGUGUAGUGCUUGGUACUGACGAGGCCGAAAGCGGUGGGGAAGUGACCUUUGCGCGCCCCGACGAACACCAGGCGGCUUUGCGUGAAGACGGAGGCGUGGGUGCUGCCGAAGGUGGAGAGCAUGACGAACACCGGCAUGCUCCAGGCGAGGAUGCCCAGCACGCGAGUCCCGAAGGUCUGCAGGGCGGGGAGAGGAGAACCUCAGCCACGUACCAUCCAGUGUAGGAGAAGAGGCUCUGGUAGAAGGCUGUAGCUAAAGGUGCCAGCUCUGUCCUCGUGCCGGUCCAAGGGGAUCUGUAGUGCUCCACGUGGCCCUCCCCGAGUCUCCAGAUGCCAGCCAGUAUG